ACAAAAGUGAAAUUAGUGAUCGAUCCAUAGACUAAUGAUCAACGAAAAUACUAUUCCUGGUGGUUUUGAUGAGAAGUUGCCAGAGUUUCAUCCAUUUGCAUGCAUCGCAUGGGUGGCCGAGAGGUAAACAAAUCCUUUUCUAUGCCUGGAGAUACCCAUUGUAUUCCAGAUAACAAAUCACUUUCUCAGCCAUUGCAGAAGGGGAAGCAUAGAUUCCAUUGUCGCAUUUCAGUGUUAUCUCGCAAUUUGCA
rnacentral:misc_RNA from 1 species